UACGUAGGGGGCAAGCGUUGUCCGGAUUUAUUGGGCGUAAAGAGCGUGUAGGCGGCCAUACAGGUCAGCUGUGAAAACUCGAGGCUCAACCUCGAGACGUCGGUUGAAACCGUAUGGCUAGAGUCCGGAAGAGGAGAGUGGAAUUCCCGGUGUAGCGGUGAAAUGCGCAGAUAUCGGGAAGAACACCCGUGGCGAAGGCGGCUCUCUGGGACGGUACUGACGCUGAGACGCGAAGGCAUGGGGAGCGAACAGG
rnacentral:rRNA from 1 species